CCCAAGGGUUGGGCUGUUCGCCCAUUAAAGCGGUACGCGAGCUGGGUUCAGAACGUCGUGAGACAGUUCGGUCCCUAUCCGUCGUGGGCGCAGGAAAUUUGAGAGGAUCUGUCCUUAGUACGAGAGGACCGGGAUGGACAUACCUCUGGUGUACCAGUUGUUCUGCCAAGAGCACCGCUGGGUAGCUACGUAUGGAUUAGAUAAUCGCUGAAAGCAUCUAAGUGAGAAACUAACCUCGAGAUGAGAUUUCCCAUUCGUCAGAAGUAAGACCCCUGAGAGACGAUCAGGUAGAUAGGCUAGAAGUGGAAGUGUAGUGAUGCAUGGAGCGGACUAGUACUAAUAGGUCGAGGACUUAACCAAG
rnacentral:rRNA from 1 species